CUCUGAAGCUGCUCAGCUCUAUGAAAAGGACAGUAUUAUGACAAAGCAGCCUCUCUCUACAUUCGCUGCAAAAACUGGACGAAGGUGGGAGAGCUGCUUCCAAACGUCUCUUCUCCCAAGAUUCACUUGCAGUAUGCAAAGGCCAAGGAGGCGGAUGGCAAAUACAAGGAUGCGGCACGAGCCUACGAGAGCGCGAAGGACUGAGACAAUGUGAUCCGCGUGCUGGACCACCUGAACAAACCAGAAGAAGCUGUUCGCAUCGCCAGAUAGAUGCAGAGCAUCGAUGGAGCAAAGAUGGUUGCCAGGUGUCCUCGGGUAUGGAGGGCCACCCGGGCUGCGUUAUUACGCACCAAGGACCGUAAUAAACGCAUUGCUGACCGCCAUCGGUCCUCCACCCCCGCCUGUGCUGUUGGACAAAAGGUAUGGCUUUCCACACGCUUCGUUCCCGUCAGGGCGGAAUCCAAGAAGCUCACUCCCACCUUUAUCGGCCCGUUCGAGAUCUCUGCUUUGGUUAACCCUGUGUCCGUAAAGCUCAAACUACCUCGCAACAUGAAAAUACACGACGUCUUCCAUGUGUCUCAGAUUAAACCUCUCCAGUCCAGCCCUCUGUGCCCUCCUUCCAGGCCCCCUCCUCCCCCCCGGCUCGUGGAUGGUCUGCCGGCCUACUCUAUCACCCGUAUCAUGGAUUCUCGGCGCCCGGGGCAUGGCUACCAGUACCUGGUGGAUUGGGAAGGCUACGGGUUGGAGGACCGGUCCUGGAUCCCUCGGGCGGCUGUCCUGGACAAGCGCAUGCUGCGGGAGUUCCAUCGCCUGCGUCCGGGUAAGCCUGGUGGGUCGCCGGGAGGCUCCCGUUGAGGGCGGGGGGGGGUACUGUCAUGGUCCCUGUGCCUCACCAGCUGAUCCUGUAUUAGGCAACAUGUGUUUUGUUGUUUUUUUGCUCUCCCUCUCUCUCUCUCUCACCUGCCGGGGCGGUGCUCAUUAUGGGCUCCCGCCCCUGGCCCACACACCUGCCAUCUCCACACCUGCUGCCUAUCUGGGUGAUCGCAAGGCCUAUUUAAGACGGCAGCACUGUGUUACUCGUCGCUGGAUCGUUGAGCUAUCAGCAUCUACCCCGGACCUUUCCCUGCCUGCCUGUUACCGGGUGGACGAGUGAGUGGAUUUGUGUUACCCCGCUGUGGAGAGAGGAGAGAGAUUCGUUGGAGUGUGUCUGAUUUCCGUCCUUCCCCUCACAUGCCCCGGAGCCCUGGAUCCCCCUCCCCUCCCUCCAGCAAGUUGUACAUAGUAUCACCUGGUGUCGUUUGUGUUAAUAAACUGACUGUCUACUCUGCAAGGAUUCCCGGUCUGCGCCUGAGUCCAUUAACUAAAACCUGACAAUUUUGCUUCUUUCUCAGGACGAAGGUGGGAGAGCUGCUUCCAAACGUCUCUUCUCCCAAGAUUCACUUGCAGUAUGCAAAGGCCAAGGAGGCGGAUGGCAACUGUGCGCACAGAUACAAGGAUGCGGCACGAGCCUACGAGAGCGCGAAGGACUGAGACAAUGUGAUCCGCGUGCUGCUGGACCACCUGAACAAACCAGAAGAAGCUGUUCGCAUCGCCAGAGAGAUGCAGAGCAUCGAUGGAGCAAAGAUGGUUGCCAGGUGUCCUCGGGUAUGGAGGGCCACCCGGGCUGCGUUAUUACGCACCAAGGACCGUAAUAAACGCAUUGCUGACCGCCAUCGGUCCUCCACCCCCGCCUGUGCUGUUGGACAAAAGGUUCUUUCUGCGGUCUAACGACUAUGGCUCAGCCAUCCACUUCCUGGUUUUAUCCCAUUGCAACGACGAAGCCUUCCAGCUGGCGCAGCACCACGAACAGAUGGAGGUCUACGCAGACAUCAUCGGCUCUGAGGCGACACAGGAGAACUAUCAGUGUAUUGCUCUCUACUUUGAGGGAGAAAAGAAACACCUGCAGGCUGAAGUUCUUUCAAAAGUGUGGACAGUACAGCAGAGCGCUGAAGCGCUUCUUGUUGUACACUAACACCGAAGAAAACAUGGCGAUUGAGACGGGGCAGCGAGGGGUGGCAUCCCGAGUUGCAUCUUCCGAGAGGAAGAUCCCACUAAAGCUACAAGUCAACCUACCGGAAAUAUGCCCCCAGGGAUUCCCGAGAGGGGGGGUGGAAGAGAAUCCCACCGGAUGGAUCAAAAAAAUACGACACUUGGCAAUGGUAAUAUGACAACGACCGCGGAAUGCAUAUGCGUCAAGAUAUGCAAGAACCGACAUGGCCUGCGGAUCCACCAGGCCAAAAUGAAGUGUGAGGAGAAGGGGUUGGCAUCACAGUGCGCAGGAAGCACACCUGGUGAGACGAAGGAGGAACCAGGCCGGAGUCACCCCACAGUGCCCGGAGCCUCCAGGUGAUGCAGGCCCCUGAAGCUCACAAGUCAUCAGAACAUCGUCGGGUGCAGUGUGUCAUGGUUCUGGGUCAGUUCGACCCAGCUUUUUGGAGUUGUUAUGUUUUGGUUUUGAAUGAUGGGUUUUUCCUGUAUACUGGUGGUGGUGAUGAUUAUGAUGGUGAUAGAUUAUUAUUUGAGUUCCAUGUUUCUGUUUAUUUGUGUUUAGGAUUUGUGUUCUCAUGUUUUGUGUGGGUUUAGUUUCAUGUGUCAUUUUCUGUCUGUCUCUCAGUGUCGAGUCUGCGUCUUUGUGUUGUGUUCUUGUUUCCUGUUUUAUUGUGAAGGUCUGCGUCUCAUGUGAGUGUGUUCAGUUUUACCUCUGUCUGUCUUGUUGAUUACGCCCAGCUGGGUUCCCCAGCUGUGUGUAAUCUCCCUGUGUUUCUCUGUGUAUUUAAGUCGCGUCUUCUGUCUUUGUAGUUGCUGGUCCGUCUGUGUAUCCACCCUGCUUCAUCUGUGUGUUCUCCCUGCUGUUAUCUUCAUGUACCAUCGUCUCCCUUCCUUCAUGUUCAGGUUCGUGUUCUUGUUCGGGCUCAGUAGUUUAGUUAUCCCAGUAUAGUUUAGUUCUCCGUUUACCAUUUUGUCCAUCUAUACUUUGUGUUUAAUAAACCACCCUUGUUGGUUUUUUUUUUAAUAAAGUUAUAGACUUGUCCAAUCCAGUGGACUACAUGCGCCCGAGCACUCAGCAUGAAAUACUGUGAACUUACUGUAAAAAUGAAUUACCUUGUGUUCUAUUGUAAAUAUACAAACACUUGUUUUGCUUGUAUUCCUUGAAAAACAUCUCAGCAAUUUUUUGGAACUUUCAACUCAUAUAAUAUAACUCAUAAAUCUUACAUCUCAAUAUGGCAAACUAUCUCCAACAAGAGAAACAUUUUUGAGUCUACACAGUUCUAUAACGUUGCAGGACAGUAUUACCAAGCCCUCAUUAGAAUGCUGGAAUAAAACACAAACUGACUUCUUAGUCUCUGCAUCUCCAAACACUUCUAUGUCCAUCACAUCUAGGCUGUGUGAAAGUUUGCAAAGCAUCCAGGGCACAAUGGCACACAGCAAACCUGACCUCACGGGCUACUUUGGUGACUGCUCUCAGCUUCAUGGGUUGUGAAGCAGACAGUUAACUACCUGAGAGAAAAUUACAGCAGAUAACUAAUUACAGGCUAUUACUUUUGUAUCGGUUAUUGCGUUGAUGGAGUGAGUGAUGUAUGCUGGGUAAUGGCACAGCUAGUGAUUGGGUGACUUUAUUGUACCGGUUUUAUAAACUGUUCUACAAGCCUUUUCAUAUUUGGAAAUCCAUUUACAUUUUUAACCUGUCGUUCAUUCUGCUACAGCUGUAACAUAUCUUUUCCAACUCCUCUGAAUACAUGCAGUCAUUUUACCAUCUGCUUUGGAUAAUCUCGCUCUUACGUAUUAAAUAAUAUAAAAUAAAAAAGAACUUUUUUAUUAGACAAAAAUUUUCGGUGCUGUUAAAGAAUACACGGCGACUCACUUUUUUUUUGUUGAGAAAGUGUUGUUUCAUAUUAGAUCAGCGGCAGUGACGUCACCGUACUCGAUCGUACCACAGGUAAGUAAGAAUCUGAAUCUGUAGAUUUUUCUAUAUUAUUUUUCUAAUUUAAAAUGCAAAAAAUACUGAAAAAGUGAGCUCACAAAGUUGCUUUUAGCAGUUCUAUGGGUUAAGAUGAGCAAUUUCGUGGAACAGCGAAUGACUUGACAUUUAAGUGCAUAUAUCUUGCCACGCCACAUCAUCAUAAUCAUUAAAUAGCAGACCGAUCAUCUAUGCUGCAAAUGCAAAUGAAAUACAAAUGGACAGUAAACCGGGUUUAUCUAAAUCGUUACACUAGACACCAACCCUUUACAGUUCACAAAGGGUUUAAUGUAUAUAUUCAUUUUUACAUUUAAUUAGUAUACUCUACUACUUGUAUUUAAAACAAGAAAAACUUGCAUCAACAC